AACAAACGCUGGCGGCAGGCCUAAUACUUGCAAGACGAACGGUAAGUUGAGUAGCAAUACUUAGCCAAGAGUGUCGUACGGGUGCGUAACACGUAUGCAACCUACCCUAUACAGGAGGAUAGCCUAGGGAAACCUGGAUUAACCCUUCAUAGUAUUAUUGGAUGGCAUCAUUUGAUAAUUAAAAACUGAGGUGGUAUAGGAUGGGCAUGCGUCUGAUUAGUUAGUUGGCGGGGUAAUGGCCCACCAAGACGAUGAUCAGUAGGGGGUUCUGAGAGGAAGAUCCCCACACUGGCACUGAGAUACGGGCCAGACUCCUACGGGAGGCAGCAGUGGGGGGAAAUAAUUUGCGCAAAUGGGCGAAAAGCCUGACGCAGCGACGCCGCGUGGGUGAUGAAGGCCUGUCGUAAGACCGU
rnacentral:rRNA from 1 species